rnacentral:rRNA from 1 species
CACGUAGGGCGCAAGCGUUGUCCGGAAUUAUUGGGCGUAAAGAGCUCGUAGGCGGUCUGUUGCGUCCGCUGUGAAAACUCGGGGCUUAACCCCGAGCCUGCAGUGGAUACGGGCAGACUAGAGGUAGGUAGGGGAGAAUGGAAUUCCCGGUGUAGCGGUGAAAUGCGCAGAUAUCGGGAGGAACACCGGAGGCGAAGGCGGUUCUCUGGGCCUUACCUGACGCUGAGGAGCGAAAGCGUGGGGAGCGAACAGG